AAAGAUUUGAAUAAUACCUCUAAGGCUAACACCUGAACCACUUAACGGGUGUAAAGUAUCAUUUUCCUUUUUGAUAGGCAAAGGAUUAAAUGGCACAAGCUCGGACACAGUAGGAACAUGAUGCACGACUUAUCCCUAAAAAUAUAUAUAUAUAAGAUUUUUUUUUUUUUUUUCAAAUGAGGCCCAAAGCAAAAUAAAUUAAAUACCUCGUUCAUUAGAACUGGUUGCGAAACAGCGGGCAUGUCACAAAAUAUUGUGUCAUCGAGUGGGUAUGCCGUAUCCAUAUCGCAAUAGAGAGAUCCGACACUUGUCUUCUUAUACCUAAAGUUGACUUCACUGUCUUCAUUAUUGCUUAUAUGCCCUCGCUUUAAAUUGCGAAUUCGUCAACCAAGAAGAAUGAAAUAUUCCUGCGAAUCUGCUACACUUUAUGUCUCUCCUUUAUCAUU
rnacentral:lncRNA from 1 species